GGCUUUAUAGUUCAACGGAUAGAACGAGGGUUUCCGAAGCCCUAAAUUCAGGUUCGAUUCCUGAUAAAGCCA
rnacentral:tRNA from 2 species